ensembl:lncRNA
AAGCAAACAAGGAACCGAUUCUUUGCUUUCUGUGCUCUUGAGACUUUAAAUAUUUCUCCCCAUCUCAGUUUUGGUGGGAGAUGGGAGGGUAUUACAAGCUAUAAUGCAAUCAUUUGGAUGCUUAACUGCAGACGAGAAGAAUUGGGAAUGCUUUGUAAAAUUUCCCAAAAGAGUGAAAUGCUCUGUCAGGGGUCCAAUGCCCCCAUCCUCUGCUUGGACAAACAUCUCUGUCCAGCUGGGGCUGCCACAACGGACCAGACGGAGGAUGUUUUGGCUUCGGCUUCUUUACCAUGCUGUACGUCAAACCCAAGCCCUCCGACAGCCUGACUCCUCUCACGGGCUAGAACAAACAAGGAGAUUGCAAUUGAAGAGCACGGCUUGGAGGUUCGUCGGAUUCUCUUCGAGGGAACAGAGGACUAACUUAGGGCUGCUGGAACAGACUGCCCCAAACUGAGUGGCUUGAAACAACAGAAAUUUAUUGUCUCACAGUUCUGGAAAAUAGAAGUCUAAAAUCAAGGCCCUGGCAAAGCCAUGCUCCCUCUGAAGCCUCGGGACAAGGACCAUGCUGCCUUCUUUGCCUCUUCCAGUUUCUGGUAGCCCCAGGCAGUCCAUGGCUCAGGGCAGCAAGACUCCAAGCUCUGCCUCCCUCUUCACAUGGCUGUCUUCCCUCUGUGUCUUUACGCUGUCAUCCCUAUGGGCAUGUCUAUGUCAAAACUUCCAUCUUCUUGUAAGGACAGCGGUCAUAGUGGAUUAGGGCCCAUCCUAUGAUCUCAUCUUCGCGUGAUUACAUCUGCCGAGACCCCAUUUCCAAAUAAGGGCAGUGCCACAGGGGUUAGACACAGGAGUGAGGAUUCCAACAUGUCCUUUCAGAGGACACCAUCCAACCCGUAACAACGACUUCCACAGGAUUGUUAAGACAGUGAACUGAAACACAGAUAUGAAAAGUCUUGAUGAUUGGAAAGUCUUGAUGCAAAUGUAGAAUAAAGAACUCAGCUGGGGUUUGAGUCCGGCCCUUUCUCCCAACCUUUAGGCUAGAGUUUCAGCAUAAGGACUCUGAAGCCCAAUUUAGGGGUGUGAAGACAAAUGAGGGGGAAGAGUAUAGAAAAUUAGGUCAAGGGCACAAAAGACAAUGUUCACUACCUUACGGGUUACCUGGGCCUAGUUCAGGUCCCGAGUGAGUGAAGUGACCUCAAAGACUCCAUGCGCUAACCCAGACUUCCCAGAAUGGGACCAGCAGGCAAGCGACACCCGUUCACCAAGGCCACGGUGGAGAGAAUGGAAAUCACUGCUUCACACUCGUAUUCUUUUAUUACCGUAGACUUGGAAGGUCAGAGUGAAGAAAAGCUUUAAUAAGCACCAGUAAAGCGUUACACAUGGCGCUGUUCGGAAGACAGAUAUGGUUCCUGACCUGCGGGGCCCGGGUUCUAAAACACACAGGGACAGCCAUGUCUAGAUUUCAUGUGAGUUUUUCUUUUCCCUUUUGGGGGGUUAGCACCGGGGAAGUAUUGCAUUCUAGCUGAUUAGGAACCACAAGUCUAAAUUUCAAUUCUGGGCUGAAUAGUAAUUUUUCCUGAAGGUUUGAAUAAAUCAUCCAAUCUGCUUCAGUUUCAACUAUUUUCAGCAUUUCUAUUUUAAUCAUUAAUUUUGGCUGCUUAGGACCCCGGAGUCACCAAGCCGGCAUGUGACUUAAUUUGGGAUGGGAAUGAGGCAGGAGGUGGAAGAUGCACUGAGAACUGAACAGGAGAAAAUGGGCUUGAGCUCCAGUCUGAAAGAUUUGGGCCGAAUGCAGGGAUAUUUUCUUGUUAGUGACGAUGGCAAUUUUUGGGGUUUGCUCUCACAAGGCAGAUUAUAGAAUCGGCACAACUGUAAUUUUGGUAAAGAUAGGAGAGAUUCUCAUGUAAGGAAGAUAGUUUAAUUUUCAUUCUGAUUUGACUGCAAGGUGAUGAGCCGGAUCAACUUUCUAUUCAGGUAAAUCAUAACACCUUAAGACAAUAAGAAGUGCAUAUAAUCCAUCCUGCUCCCUUUUCACUUUGAAUGCCAGGAAGCUCAAAGCUAACUAUACUGUUGAGUUAAAAUUAAUAUUAGCCUCCGAUACUGUUUCAGUUAUCUAUUGCUGUGAACAAAUUACCCCCAGACUUAGUGGCUCACAACAACAAUUUAUUUAUACCUUUCACAGUUCAGUAAGUUGACCGGACUCAGCUGGGCAGUCCUUGCUUGAGGACUCUCACACAGUUUCUGACGGAUGGUGGCUGAGGUAGGAGUCACCUAAGGCUCAGCUGCCAUAAACGUUCAAGAUGGUUUCUCAGUCACAUGUCUGGCAGCUGGGCUGAGACAGCCAGAACAUCUAGAGGCUGGCUGAGCUUCUCUCUCUCCCUCCACACGGCUAGCGUGGGCUUUCUCACAGCAUGCUGGGCAGUCGCAGCUCACACCUGGCGGCUGGCUUCCCCCAGGUGGAAAACGGGGGAAUAUACCCCGCCAGGUUAUAAUGGGAGAUGUGGUCCAUGGCUGGGGUCAUGCUGCCACAGGUAUUUAUAAACUUUCUCUAUUUUUCUCGGUCUUAUAAGGCAUGUAUCUUUCUUUGUGAGCCUUUUUUGGAGGUAGGCAAGUAGGAAAAAUACAGUCAAGUGCUGCAUAACGACGUUUCAGUUAACGACGGCCCGCAUAUGUAAGGGUGGUCCCAUAAGAUCAGUACCAUCUCGCCUAGGUGUGAAGUAGGCUAUAUCAUCUAGGUUUGUGCAAGUACACUCUGUGAUGUUUGCACAACGACAAAAUCAUUAAGUGACGCAUGACUGUGCACACAGUGGUUUCCUCUUGUCUAAGGCUUGACAGUUUACCAUGCACCGUCACCUAUGCUACCUUCCCUGACCUCCAGAACACCAUGUAAAGGGGCAGAUCUGCAACUGUAGCCCAUUUUUACAGAUGUGGAGACUGAGGUUCAAAAAGGAUUGGUAACCUGCCCAAGGUAACACAGCUAGGAAGUGGUGGGCCGGGCCCUGGACAGGUGUGUCUGAUACAACAAUCCAUGUUCUCAGGCAGCUGCUGAAGCCCUGACAGAGACCCAAGUCGAAAACCCAGGAGGGGCUCCCCGACAUGCCACACAACACCUGCUUGCCUCUCCAUCACCCCCAAUCACAGCGGAAGUUUAGUGCCAUGGUCUGAGCACGAGUCCUUGAGCAAAAUGGCCUGAAUCCGAACGGGCUCUGCCACUUCCUGGCCAUGUUCCUGGUUUCUUUCAAAUGACUCAGUUUCUUCAUCUGUAAAAUGAGACUGCUGCUGAUGUCAUGAGGAAUACACAAAUUAUUUAUUAAGAGGACCCUGGUCUAGCUUCCCCUUCUCUAGGCCUUAUUUGAUUUAUAAGGACCUUACCAAGCAUCCAUACAAGUACAGCUGAUCUGGACAUUUCAUUUUACUCGAUAUUACUGGAAGGACUAAAAGCCCUAAGUCGAUGUUAAUGCCUGCCUGAGGAUCACAAUUUCGGCUGCAGGAUGCAGUUAUAAAAUACUGUCAGGACUUGGAGACACAAAUCGCUUUCCGCAAGCUCUCACGUGCACUCACAUUCUCUCUUCAAUUAUUUACACUGACAUUCUCGCCCUCGGUCCCCGGUUGCUCUCUCCUCUCACUCUCUGUCCCAAGUGGACCUGCACAUUCACACUCAACUUCUUUCCACUCCAGUCCUUCACGUAUAUGUUCUCAACACGCGCACCCAAAGAUAGCCUUCCACUUACACAUACAUGUCCUUGACCUUCUGUGUCCCAGGGCACCUUCCUUCCUCAGAGCCUCAGUAUACAGAUAUUUCUGUGCUCACGGAGCCUGAGAUGCACCCCCUCCCAUUCCAGGUCCCCCAAAGAUGGCAGGAGAAGUUUUUGCAGCCAUGCCCAGUGAGGAGGUUCUGGACACCUGGCUGCACCUGCCCACGGGUGUUCAGCUCACAAAGCUCUUCAUCAGUGAUCCGAGGGGGCCACUGAGUGGAUUCCCCUGCUGCCCACUGGACACGGCACAAACAGCCUGCAUGGGAUCCAGAGAGCUUAUGAUAGCUGCUGCCUAAGGGGGCAAGUGCUCCUGACCUGGGAGGAGGCUGGGCUAAGGGAAGCUGCCAGCUUUUUCCCAGCUCAGGGUGGGGUGAGAAUCGAGCUGAAUAUGCACCUAUUCAGAAGGGCAAAGAGCCAAAAAUAACUAGGAGCAAUAGCGUUUCAUCUGACAGGCCCAGAAAUAGAGCUCAUUUCGGAGCAUGCCAGGGCUACAGACGAGGGAUUCCGAGACCUCAGCAUUCCCGGAGAAACACAUGGAAAAACUCCCAGGUUACACAAGCAUUUCCAUCCCCUCUUCACUACAGCUUCUCAAAGCAAGAGCUCCGUGGCCCACAGGAACAGAGUCUGCAGAGUCAGAGACUUGAGGGGGUCUGGGGACCAGGACUCAAGGACGCUAUCUGGUGGAAUGCCCCAAGGAAGGAAGAAAUAGGAAGUUAACUGGUCAAUAAGGAGAAUGCAAAACAGAACAGAGUCAGGACAUGGAUUUAGAGAAGGUAAUGCUUAGGCAUCGUGAGAAAAAUGGAGGUACUGAACAUUAACGAUGGCGUGCGUGCAGGAUUUAGAUAAAGCCUGAAGGUCAUCCUUGGCAGAGAAAAAGGCCAAGGUUUUCCAGUUGGGAUGGGGAGUGUGCUGCCUGCCAGCCGUCUUCUCUUCUAUUUUUGUUUUCUUCUAUUUUGAUGUAAAAGGCAAAUGUCACAGUUCAUUUGUCUUUAUUCUGAAUAUCUGAAAUUGCAGAAGGAAAGGAGAGGGUGGGAGAGGGGAGAAACCUGAUAGUCAUGGGAAAGCUGUGUUCUAACAGGAAGAAGAUAGAGGAGAUAACAAUGAAUAAAAAAGGGAAAGGAGGAAGGAAGAUAAGAAGGGAGAAAGACAAGAAGGGAGGGUAGAAGAAAAAACAGAAAAGGAAGAUGAUGGAGUCAAUUUUAUUUAGCGACUACGUUUAAGAAUUUUCUAUACAAGGCAGGGGGGAGUACACAGAGCUGAUUAAGAAACCACCCCUCCAAAACAAAAAGUGACAAGUGUUGGAGAGGUUGUGGAGAAAAAGGAACGCUCAUACACUGUUGGUGGGAAUGCAAACUGGUGCAGCCACUAUGGAAAACAGUAUGGAGAUUUCUCGAAAAAUUAAAAAUAGAAAUACCUUUUGACCCACCCAUCCCACUACUGGGUAUCUAUCCAAAGAACUUGAAAUCAGCAAUUCCAAAAGUCCCAUGCACCCCUAUGUUCAUCGCAGCAUUAUUUACAAUAGCCAAGAUGUGGAAGUAACCUAAAUGUCCAUCAACUGAGGAUUGGAUAAAGAAGAUAUGGUGUGUGUGUGUGUGUGUGUAUGUAUAUAUAUAUAUAUAUAUAUAUAUAUAUAGUGGAAUACUACUCAGCCAUAAAAAAGAUAAAAUCGUCCCAUUCACAAUAACAUGGAUGGACCUUGAAGGUAUUAUGUUGAGUGAAAUAAACCAGAUAGAGAAAGACGAACUCUGUAUGAUUCCACUCAUAAGUGGAAGUUAAACAUAGAGACAAAGAGAAUUUAUUGGUGGUUAUCAGGGGAAAGGGGGGGUGGGGGCAGGGCACAAAGGGUGAAGUGGCGCACCUACAACAUGACUAACAAUAAUGUACACCUGAAAUUUCACAAGGUUGUAAACUAUCAUAAUCUUAAUAAAAAGUUAAAGAAAAAAAGAAAGAAAGAAAGAAAGAAACCACCCCUGCUCUCAAAGAUCUUACAGUCUACCCAAAGAGAAGGACAGGCUGACAAACCUGCUACCGUAUAAAGCAGGAUUAGCUGGUUGCUACGUGGGGUUCCAGGCAAUGCUCAGUGAGAACAGAGAGAAAGGACCCAUCGAGUUUUGACCUGAGGCCAUGAGGGAAGGUCCCUAGAGCAGGUGGCAUUUGCCUGGGCCCCAGCGGUUUAUGUAGGAGCGGAGUGGUUAGAAGGAGCAUGCCUCACUUCCUCCCACAGAGUGCCACCACCCCACCUCUUGAUAUGCAGGUGUCAUUUGUCUCUGUAGGCACAGGUCUCUUUUCCCUAGACAGCCUUGAUCCCUGGAAAUGUGGCUUCCAAGUGCCCCAGCAUGGACAGUGCCAGUCUGAGGGUAAGUUUCUACUGGUCCACAGCCAAAUGAGACACAGACAAAUUGGGAGUUUUUCACAAGCAAAUUACAUUCAGUUUAAAGGACUGUCUUUUAUUAUAAUGUUAAACCCCUCCUUAAUUUUUGCUGGUAAAAAUGCCCUAUCUUUUUAACAAAAUAAUGGUGAAUAAAAGUAGAUUUCAGGUUAUUUUGUUUGUUUUAAAUAUGUAUAUUUUUGUUUUUCGGAGGAAGACUCACCCUGAGCUAACAUCUGUUGCCAAUCUUCCUCUUUUUAUGUGUGAGCCGCCACAUCACGGCCACCAACAAACAAGCGGUGUAGGUCCACGCCCAGGAACCGAACCUGGGCUGCCAAAGCAGAGCAAGAUGAACUUAACCACUAGGCCACCAGGCUGGUCCUGUUUUGAAUAUUUUUACUUGGCAAGUUAAUAGUUGGCCAACUGCAUUUGUCCCUGAGAUUAUAGUGAUCGUUUCAGUCUGAGGACUCCUGGCCUAAGAUGUCAUCUGUGCCCAUCGAGGCAAACGGGUUCAGUGAGGUUCACCUCUUUCUCCAGCCUCCUUGGCUCCAGGCCUCUGGAUGCUCCUCCCCCUGGAGGCUCAAUAGGGAUGAAUGAGUCCACCAUUCUCCCUCGGCCCCUGAUGCUUUUGUCCUUUUCCGUGUUGAGGUGUGGAGUUGUUCUCCUCUCACCAUCUCCUUUGAGGGGAAUGUGAUAAACCGACUCACACUAAGGCAGUAAGGAGUGAUACUCGAUUAAUACACUCUCCCCAGGGGCCUUCACAUUUUAGUGGAGUAUUAAAACUUAAUUCAAGCCAAUGAAUUGUAAUGGUGGAAUUUUAAGCUCUUCCACAGGGCAAUGGGAAAGAACGAUAUUUUUAAAUAAAGGGGCUUCUGCUGAAAUCAGACCACACCUUUCAAAUUACUGACACAAACAAUGAGAGAUGAGGCCGGGCAAUAACUGAUUCUGUCUUCUUGAUCAAAAUGUCACACUCCACUAUGAAUAGACGUCCUGACCUUCUCUUUCUCUGCCCCUCUCCAAUACAGAAUGAAUCAGCCAGCUCUGCCACCCCCUGCCCUGGGCUGCGGAGCAACCUGAACGUCCCUUUUACGGAACCAAAGUGUGUUUGGUGUUUUUUGCAAGCCUGCUGCUCCUUGCGGAACGGAUGGUCCUGCCCACUUCUGGAUUCCUCGGGCUUUUGGUGGUGCCUGAUGGACACUAGGAAUGCAAUAGAAGACAAAUAAGUGGGAGAUUGGAUAUACCAGGUUAAAAUAGCCCAGUCCCCUAUGGGGUUCCUCCACAUUGACUACAGUUAGGUAAAUUCAAACCCUUAAACUCACAAGGCUUUGAAAACUGUGAUUGCGUGAAUCCUGAUUACAAACCACCUGAGGGAAUCAUUUGGCUCCCUAAGACCAGCUGAGUCUGUGUGCAAUAAAGGAGGAGAGAAACUCUGGAGAAAGGCCCAGGGAGACGGGGGAAACCAAAGAAAUAUUAGGAAGCCCCAUUCUCCAGAAGUGGCCAACAAUUUUCCUCCCACAUACAUUAAAAAGUAUAGUCUAUACUUCGACCAGACAGAAAAAAUAUGGACAUGAUCUGGGACAAAGUCAUCAAAUCUUUGAUCCCCUUGGGCACUCGAUAGAAUAAAUGGUUUUCCACAUCACACAGGAGAAUUUUAAGUGCUUUGGGUCUGUGGAAGUGGGGCAUAGUGGUGGUGACAUCUGUCAAACAAAGAAACCCUCAAAUGCUUUAAUGUGGUGGCUGCUGGAUGAGAGAGGCGCAGAAGUGACCGUCUCCUGUAAGCCAAUGGUUCUGGAAAUGGGGUCUCUGCAGCAGCAGCAGCAUCACCUGGGAGCUUGUUAGAAAGGUGGCUUCUUGGUCCCACCCAGGACUGACUGAAUCUGAAAUUCCAGGAGGGUUGUCCAGCUAUGUGCGUUUUAACAAGCCCUCCCCACGAUUCCAAUGCAGGCUGAAGUCUGAGAACCACUGACAUAAAGCAUUACCUUGCAGUGAGUGACUCGGGGCCAAGAGCCUGACCCAGGGCCACAGCCAUCGAGUGACCUAAAAAAAGUAAGGGAUGACUCAGCUGAGGAGCUGAGCGUGGCCAGGCCGCCUGUCCUGAGAGCCUGAGGGCAUACGCAGCCACAGGGGAUUGCAAAGCUGGUCUAACCCAACCCUAGGUAUCCCAUCUUACCACCAGCCUCUCCCGAUGCCUGUCGUGACUUGACCUACUGUGA